CGGGCGACGACCGAACGCCCCCGGGAACACCGGGCCCCGAGCUCGGUCCCGCGCCCGAGGAUCCUCCACGGGGCUAGAUGGCUGCGUCGGGGGCGGGAGCGGAGGUGAGCGGGCGCUAGGGCCGCGAGCCCCCGCCGGCCCUUCCUCCAGCGCCCUGCGGACCCCGCAGAAGGCGCUCGCCUCCCUAGCCCGCAAAAACAUAUCGAUUUUUCUCGCUGUGGCAACGGGGACGUCCUGAUAGAUCCUCUGCUCCAAUAGGCAACUCCGGCCUUCCCUGCCCUGACCUGGAACCUCUGGGAGGGCUGCAGAGUAAGUGCCGCCUCUGCGCUCCGACGGAGGCACGAGGCCUGUGGAGUAGGUCCCUCUGUUCCGACAGGUGCGACACUUGGCGCUCCAUGCUUGCGGGUGCCGGGAGGCCUGGCCUCCCCCAGGGCCGCCACCUCUGCUGGUUGCUCUGUGCUUUCACCUUAAAGCUCUGCCAAGCAGAGGCUCCCGUGCAGGAAGAGAAGCUGUCAGCAAGCACCUCAAAUUUGCCAUGCUGGCUGGUGGAAGAGUUUGUGGUAGCAGAAGAGUGCUCUCCAUGCUCUAAUUUCCGGGCUAAAACUACCCCUGAGUGUGGUCCCACAGGAUAUGUAGAGAAAAUCACAUGCAGCUCAUCUAAGAGAAAUGAGUUCAAAAGCUUUGAUGGAACAACGCUUAUUUUGGAAGUUCGAAGGGGCUGUCGUGUGUGUGGCCCUGAUCUUCGCUUGUCUUGUCAUCAUUCGUCAGCGACAAUUGGACAGAAAGGCUCUGGAAAAGGUCCGGAAGCAAAUCGAGUCCAUAUAGCUACAUUCCACCCUUGUAUCCUGGGUCUUAGAGACCCUAUCUCAGACAGUGAAAGUGAAAUGGACUGAUUUGCACUCUUGGUUCUUUGGAGCCUUGUGGUGGAAUCCCCUUUUCCCCAUCUUCUUCUUUCAGAUCAUUAAUGAGCAGAAUAAAAAGAGUAAA
rnacentral:lncRNA from 1 species